AUCGCUUCUCGGCCUUUUGGCUAAGAUCAAGUGUAGUAUCUGUUCUUAUCAGUGGUUUAGUCUCUGGCCAUUGAUGUGGGAUGGAUGCUGCAUGGAGGGGGCAGGUGUACCGUGGCGUUCCGGGGAUGGUGCCACAUAACCAGCUCAAUGGCUGUCCUGAUGUGACCUGUUUCCUCCGGGUCUCGCCAUGAGGUU